rnacentral:lncRNA from 1 species
GUGCUCUUUUGGUUUCGCUGCGUGUGUGUUGCAUAUUUUCCGGCAAGCACACCAUUCCCUCAAAACACCAUGGCUAAGUCUAUGCGCUACCCCGCCACCACCCCACACACAAACAUCACAGUAAAUUACCAUUUCACACCAACAGAAACACCACCCUUGCGCUGAAGCACCCUUGCCUUCCUCCGUGCCUUGAAGUUUCCGCGCAAGCUUGCCGUGACGUCAUAGACUUUGACGGCAAUAUGCAUAAUUCUCUAUCGGCAAAAAAAUUAAUUACGCUGUGCUCUUAAGGUGCCAGAAUGACUUCACAUGGCAAGUUUUGUAAGCUUUUAUUGAGGCAACUAAGUGAAUAUACAAAUAGGUGAUUAGAAAUCCGUCACGUUGGAUUUUAGGUGCUAAA